rnacentral:rRNA from 1 species
GAGUUUGAUCCUGGCUCAGGACGAACGCUGGCGGCGUGCCUAAUACAUGCAAGUCGAGCGAACCAAUUGAAAGCCUAGCUUUCAUGAGGUUAGCGGCGGACGGGUGAGUAACACGUGGGUAACCUGCCCUAUAGACUGGGAUAACUCGCGGAAACGCGUGCUAAUACCGGAUAACACAUCAGAGUGCAUGCUUUGGUGUUGAAAGAUGGUUCUGCUAUCACUAUAGGAUGGGCCCGCGGCGCAUUAGCUUGUUGAUGGGCUAACGGCCUACCAAGGCGACGAUGCGUAGCCGACCUGAGAGGGUGAUCGGCCACACUGGGACUGAGACACGGCCCAGACUCCUACGGGAGGCAGCAGUAGGGAAUCUUCCACAAUGGGCGAAAGCCUGAUGGAGCAACGCCGCGUGAGCGAAGAAGGUCUUCGGAUCGUAAAGCUCUGUUGUAAGGGAAGAACAAGUGCAGUAGUAACUGGCUGCACCUUGACGGUACCUUACUAGAAAGCCACGGCUAACUACGUGCCAGCAGCCGCGGUAAUACGUAGGUGGCAAGCGUUGUCCGGAAUUAUUGGGCGUAAAGCGCGCGCAGGCGGUCUCUUAAGUCUGAUGUGAAAGCCCCCGGCUUAACCGGGGAGGGUCAUUGGAAACUGGGAGACUUGAGUGCAGGAGAGGGAAGCGGAAUUCCAUGUGUAGCGGUGAAAUGCGUAGAGAUAUGGAGGAACACCAGUGGCGAAGGCGGCUUCCUGGCCUGUAACUGACGCUGAGGCGCGAAAGCGUGGGGAGCAAACAGGAUUAGAUACCCUGGUAGUCCACGCCGUAAACGAUGAGUGCUAGUGUUUAAGGGGGUUUCCACCCCUUAGUGCUGCAGCUAACGCAUUAAGCACUCCGCCUGGGGGAGUACGGU